rnacentral:lncRNA from 1 species
GGUCUGCUGCUGAUUGAAGGGAAGGUUGACCUUGAGGCCUUAGAGUCCUGGAGACAUCUAAGCUGGUUUCUCUUUUCUGUCAAUGUAUAAUUCUCUCUGCUCUUCUGUUUCUGCCUCCUUUGAGAGGGAAUUUCCCACUGCUUUGCUGUAGGAAAGACAGGCAAAAUGAAGAUGGCACCUAUAUUCAGUCUCCUUUCCUUUCCUUUCCUCUCACUCCUAAUCACAAAAUAUGCCUAAGAGGUCGAGCUUGGAUAAUAAACUGAACAUUCUUUCAUCUCACUAGUGAAAAAGUGAAACUUGGUACUGAGUUGAAGAAACACUUUGGGUUGAUCAAAUACUGGAAACGACCUCUUCAGAAUAAAGAUCCAUAAUCCUAGUAAAUUCUGAAGCUACUGUGUCAUGAAAUGCAGAAGUUCACAAACAUCUGUCAACACUUGCUGAUGAGACUGCUGAAGCAGCAAGGUUAGAUUGUCCUCACCUGCAGCGACCUACCUUUGGAGAAGAGAUCCUGGAUCCAGCGUAACACAAAUGAAGAUUCUUCUGUUUCAGGCUGUGAUGACUCUUGGUAGGAAUAUCUCAGCAUCAUGUGAUUCCUACCACGUGAGAAUGGAGCAAAGCAGCCUCUUUGCCGCCCCAAGCUCAGUGCUCCGUAGACUGAAAAGAAGAUGCAGUCGACAAACAGCUGAGGAGGCUUCAUGAAUGCUGCACACAGCAACUUCAGAGUUCCUCUCUGAACAGGUGGUAAUAGAUGUUAGUAGCCCUCCCAAAAUGCCAAACAUCUUCCCUCCCCUCUGAAGUUAUUAACGAUUAAACAGGCACAAGCAAACAGAUCAGAAAUAGAGCAUUAGCUUUAUUGCACAAUCAAAUCAUUUUUGUCUCCUGGGAGGAGUAAGACCAAGAGGGACCAGAAAGGUUCAUUUCUGGGAAAUAAGGUAGAAAUCCUCAGGGAGGGAAGAGGAAAAGACAAUAUGGAAUAAGGGUCUUUUCCUGCUCUUGUGUCCCAAGCUCUGAAUUCUUCUUAGCUAUUGAACUUAAUACAAAUUGUAAAUCGGUUAUGGUUCUCCCAGUGGAGGAGAACAGCUUGGUAAUGGGAUAGUCCUACUUAUAUGACAUAACUAAUUCUAGACACUAACCACUUACUUCUUAAAUUCAGGCUAGUAAUGGUCCGAAUUGUUCCUUUACAUUGCUUUGAGGGCCUUUUAGGAACAAAGAAACCAAGCAGC